CGCUUUAAAAUUCCUGUACUUGCGUGUACUGCCUGCAGGAGGGAAUUUAUUAGUUCGGCCCCUGCUAAAACGCGAAUGCCGUCAGUAGGAAAAGUGAAUUCGCGCGUCGCCGGUGUCGGGUUCGAAUCGUGCACGUAAUUCGAAGUUUUUACGCUCUUUUGAGUCUUUUUUCAGUUCGGUUUGUGCACUUUUAUUUCCCGACUAAAGUGAAUCCCUUGUACUAAUUAAAUGGAGGCUGUAUAUGGGCUGUAGUAAGGUUGACAUCAUCAUGGAGGAAGAAUUCUCCUUGUUGCAGAACAUGUCGGAUUACACCCUGCUGGACCACAACUCCACCCUGUUUCCUUAUGACAGAAACUCCACUCUGGAAGAACGUAACCAAUUCAUACUUCCAAUAUGGAGGCAGGUGUUGUGGAGUAUCCUGUAUGCCGGGAUGGUAAUAGUGGCCACCGGCGGUAACUUGAUCGUGAUCUGGAUCGUGCUUGCGCACAAACGAAUGCGAACUGUGACUAAUUACUUUUUACUAAACCUCUCGGUAGCGGACACCAUGGUCUCCACCCUGAACGUCACCUUCAACUACGUCUACAUGCUCUACUCCCAUUGGCCCUUCGGCGAACUCUACUGCAAAAUCAGCCAAUUUAUCGCGGUCUUAUCUGUCUGUGCCAGCGUGUUCUCGUUAAUGUCCAUAUCCAUAGACCGAUACAUGGCGAUUAUGACGCCACUAAAGCCGCGCAUGAGUAGAGCGAUGACUCUGAUACUCGCCCUAUUUACGUGGGUUAUGGGGAUCGUUAUAGGGAUGCCCUCGUUGCUCUAUUACAAGACUUACAGGGAUAGAUACGCGAGUGGGGACGAGAGGGUGAUAUGUUAUCCGGAGUGGCCGGACGGGACUACUAGUGAUAGUCUUUAUGAGUAUUACUUCAAUGUAGCCUUCCUGGUGGUAACCUACCUCAUCCCGAUUAUUUCCAUGAGUUACACCUACGCCAGGAUAGGGAUAGAGCUAUGGGGCUCCCAAAGCAUCGGGGAAUGCACCCAGAGGCAGAUGGAGAACAUUAAAAGCAAACGAAGGGUAGUAAAAAUGAUGAUGGUCGUGGUGAUCAUUUUCGCAGUAUGCUGGCUCCCAUAUCAGCUCUACUUCAUCCUGGUCUCCUAUUUUCCAUCAAUAACCACAUCGGAAUACAUCCAGGAGACCUUUUUGGCCAUAUACUGGUUGGCCAUGAGCAACUCUAUGUACAAUCCCAUUAUAUAUUGCUGGAUGAACGCCCGAUUUCGAAGGGGAUUCAAGCAGUUUUUCUCGUGCUUACCGUUCGUGCACGUGAGUCCGGUACCUUUGACCAGACGUGAGGUGCUUACCAGCAAGAGGAAGUCCUACUCGGGUUCACCGGAUCGCAACAGGAUAGUCCGUAAUGGUACCCUACGUGUCUCCUACAACCCCUACAGCUCGAUGAUCGCCGGUGGAAAACCGACCCCGUCAUCCUCCACCAACACCUGCUACAGUCAAGUGCCGGAGGAGAUGCUCAUGCGCCACUGCGAGUUACGUCAAUUGUCCUCCUGACAUAAGGCGAGUGCCCCCGGUAACGGCGCGAGCGGACUCGCGUGCGAGCAAACCAAGUUGACGCAACGCAGGACCUGGAUUUAGGGUUCGGGAACCUCACGGGAACCCCGGCUGAGUGUGAAGCCCCGUGAGGAGGACAUUAUCGAGGAGGAGAGUAAGGUUUAGGCUGAAGUGGAGUUUGUAUACACCCAUAGAAUAAUAUUGAGGGGGUAUACACCCAAAACUGUUAUUGGAACUCGUUUUGUUGAAUGUUCUCUCGCUGUUUCAAUGCUUGAUCUGAAGCGACGUUUCUGCCCUAGAAUUCGUCUUCAAGGAUUGGUGUUCCUACUGACUGACGUGUGGAAAAAUUAUGAAAAUAUCGCGAGUGGUUCUCGAGUUAUGUACGAAUAAAAGAUUUGUUGUGUGGUUGGACUUUGGGUGAUUGAGUGCUCUAGAAUAGGAGUAGGUUUGUUACAAAAAGGGUUUUAUUAUGAAAUUGUUCUGUAAAAUGUAAGAUGUAGUAUUUUCUGAAAAAAUUAUUAAAAUGCAUGCAAUGGAAAUCAAGAUAUUGACGUUUUUCUUAUUGGGGUACCUGCAAGGGAGGUAAAAUCAUUUGUCUCUUAUUGGCGAGUAAAUAUCUUGAGUUCUCGUGGCUAGAAUUUUCUGAUUAUUGAUUUUUUGGAUAUAUUAAGGCUUUUCAAGUAUUUUCUGAAAAAAUCAAUAAAAUCCAAUAAUUAGAAAUCAAGAUAUUGAUAUUUUUCUUACUGGAGUGUCUAAAAGAGAUAAAAUAGUUUGUCUCCCAUUAGCAAGUGAAUAUCUUGAGUUCUCUUGGCUAGAAUUUCGUGAUUAUUGAUUUUUUAGAUAUACUAAGGCGUUUCGAGUAUUUUCUAAAAAAAUCAAUAAAAUUCAAUAAUUAGAAAUCAAGAUAUUAAUAUUUUUCUUUCUGGAGUGCCUGGAAAAGAUAAAAUAAUUUGUCUCUUAUUGGCAAGUGAAUAUCUUGAGUUCUAGUAGUUAGAAUUUUAUAAUUAUUGAUUUUUAAGAUACCUCAGAGUUUUUUGAGUGUUUUCUGAAAAAAUCAAUAAAAUCCGUCUACUAGAAGUCAAGCUAUUAAAAUUCUUAGUCCAGGAGUGCCUGGAAGAAAUAAAAUAAUUUGUCUCUUAUUGGCGAGUGAAUAUCUUGAGUUUUCGUGGCUAGAAUUUUCUGAUUAUUGAUUUUUUGGAUAUAUUGAGGCUUUUCAAGUAUUUUCUGAAAAAAUCAAUAAAAUCCAAUAAUUAGAAAUCAAGAUAUUGAUAUUUUUCUUUCUGGAGUGUCUAAAAGAGAUAAAAUAGUUUGUCUCCCAUUAGCAAGUGAAUAUCUUGAGUUCUCUUGGCUAGAAUUUCGUGAUUAUUGAUUUUUUAGAUAUACUAAGGCGUUUCAAGUAUUUUCUAAAAAAAUCAAUAAAAUUCAAUGAUUAGAAAUCAAGAUAUUAAUAUUUUUCUUUCUGGAGUGCCUGGAAAAGAUAAAAUAAUUUGUCUCUUAUUGGCAAGUGAAUAUCUUGAGUUUUCGUGGCUAGAAUUCUGUAAUUAUUGAUUUUUUGGAUAUACUGAGGCUUUUCAAGUACUUUCUGAAAAAAUCAAUAAAAACCAAUAAUUAUAAAUCAAGAUAUUAAUAUUUUUCUUUCUCGAGUGUCUGGAAGAGGUAAAAAAAUUGUCUCUUAUUAGCGAAUGAAUAUCUUGAGUUGUCGUGGCUAGAAUUUUGUGAUUGUUGAUUUUUUUGAUAUAUUGAGGCUUUCUUAGUGUUUUUUGAAAUAAUCAAUUAAAUCCAUUAACUAAAAAUCAAGAUAUUGACGUUUUUCUUAUUGGUGUACCUGCAAGAGGUAAAAUAAUUUGUCUCUUAAUGGCAAGUGAAUAUCUUGAGUUCUCGUAGCUAGAAUUUCGUGAUUAUUGAUUUUUUUGAUAUAUUGAGGCUCUCCAAGUCAAUUCUAAAAAAAUCAAUUAAAUCCAUGGACUAGAAAUCAAGAUAUUAAUAUUUAUCGAAGUGGAGUGACUGUAAGAAAUAAAAUAAUUUUUCUCUUGUUGGCAAGUGAAUAUCUUGAGUUUUUGUGAUUAGAAUUUUGUAAUUAUUGAUUUUUUGGACAUAACGAGGCUUUUCAAGUACUUUCUGAAAAAAUCAAUAAAAGCCAAUAAUUAUAAAUCAAGAUAUUAAUAUUUUUCUUUCUGGAGUGCCUGGAAGAGAUACAAUAAUUUGUCUUUUAUUGGCAAGUAAAUAUCUUGAGUUCUAGCCGAUAGAAUUUUGUAAUUAUUAAUACUAGAGAUAUAUUAAGGCUCUUCAAGUAUUUUCUUAAAAAAUCAAUUAAAUCCAUGGACUAAAAAUCAAGAUAUUGAUAUUUUUCUCACUGGUGUACCUGCAAGAAAGAUAAAAUAAUUUGACUCUUAUUGGCGAGUGAAUAUCUUCAGUUUCCGUGGCUAGAAUUUCGUAAUUAUUGAUUUUUUAGAUAUAUUGAGGCUUUCCAAGUCAACUCUAAAAAAAUCAAUUAAAUCCAUGAACUAAAAAUCAAGAUAUUGAUAUUUUUCUCACUAGAGUACCUGGAAGAGAUACAAUAAUUUGUCUUUUAUUGGCAAGUAAAUAUCUUAAGUUCUAGCCAAUAGAAUUUUGUAAUUAUUAAUACUAGAGAUAUAUUAAGGCUCUUCAAGUAUUUUCUAAAAAAUCAAUUAAAUCCAUGGACUAAAAAUCAAUAUAUUGAUAUUUUUCUCACUGGAGUGCCUGGAAAAGAUAGAAAAAUUUGUCUCUUAUUGGCAUAUGAAUAUCUUGAGUUUUCGUGGCUAGAAUUUUAAAAUUAUUGAUUUUUUGAAUAUAUUGAGGCUUUCUAAGUAUUUUCUAAAAAAAUCAAUAAAAUCUAAUAGUUAUAAAUCAAGAUAUUGAUAUUUUUCUCACUGGAGUACCUCGAAGAGGUAAAAUAAUUUGUCUCUUAUUGGCAAGUGAAUAUCUUGAGUUGUCGUGGCUAGAAUUUCGCGAUUAUUGAUUUUUAGAUAUAUUGAGGCGUUUUAAGUAUUUUCUGGAAAAAUCAAUAAAAUCCAAUAAUUAGAAAUCAAGAUAUUCACAUUUUUCUCACUAGAAUGCCUGGACAAGGCAGUUCUAAUGGUUAGAAUUUUGUAAAUAUUGAUUUCUAAGGUACCUUAGGGUUUCUCAAGUACUUUAUGAGGAAAUCAAUUAAAUCCAUUGACUAGAAAUCAAGAUAUUGACAUUUAUCAAAGUGGAGUGACUGCAAGGAAUAAAAUAAUUUUUCUCUUGUUGGCAAGUGAAUAUCUUGAGUUUAUUUAAUUUAAUUAUUGAUUUUUUGAAUAUAUUGAGGCUUUUUUAGUAUUCUUGAAAAAAAUAAAUAAAAUUCAUACACCAAAAAUUAAAAUAUUUAUAUUUCUCUCAUUAGAGUACCUGGAAGAGGUAAAAUAAUUUGUUUCUUAUUAGCCUGUAAAUAUCUUGAUUUUUAGUAAUUAAAAUUUUGUAAUUAUUGAUUUUCAAAGUACCUGAGGGCCUUUCAAGUAUUUCGUGAAAAAAUCAAUUAAAUCCAUCAACUAGAAAUCAAGAUAUUCAUAUUUUCCUCACUAGAGUGCCUGUAAGAAACAGAAUAAUUUGUCUCCUAUUGGCAAGUAAAUAUCUUGAGUUCUAGUAGUUGAAAUUUUGUAAUUAUUGAUUUUUUGGAAAUAUUAAGGGGUUUUAAUUAUUUUUUAGAAAAAUCAAUGAAAUCUAUUAACUAGAACUCAAGAAAUUCACAUUUUUCUUAUUAGAAUUCCUGGAAGAGGUAAAAUAAUUUGUCUCUUAUUGGCAUUUAAAUAUCUUGAGUUCUAGUAAUUAGAAUUUUAUAAUUAUUGAUUUCUAAGGUACCUUAGGGCUGUUCAAGUAUUUCGUGAAAAAAUCAAUUAAAUCCAUUUACUAGAAAUCAAGAUAUUCACAUUUUUCUCAUUAGAGUGCCUGGAAGAGCUAAAAUAAUUUGUCUCCUAUUGGCAAUUAAAUAUCUUGAGUUCUAGUAAUUAGAAUUUUAUAAUUAUUGAUUUCUAAGGUAUCUUAGGGCUGUUCAAGUAUUUCGUGAAAAAAUCAAUUAAAUCCAUUUACUAGAAAUCAAGAUAUUGAAAUUCUUAGUCCAGGAGUGCCUGGAAAAAACAAAAUAAUUUGUCUCUUAUUAACAAGUCAAUAUCUCGAGUAUUACUCGAACUAUUGAGUUCUAGGAUAUUCCAAAGUCUACUUUCUUCCUUAUUUCAAUAAAUUACCCAACAAACUACUAGUCACUAGUGACCAAUCAUAAAUAAACUUUUACCUAAACAUAACCUUGUAAUUAUGUACAUAAUAGAGUCACAAGUAAGUGUGCGCACUCGAGAACAGAGUUUACCAUACCUGUAUAGUAGUGACGUCACAAAGUACAAUUAGGGUUUAGGGCAAUUGAUGUUUUCCGAUCAAAUUUUUAUUUUUUAGGUUAUAAAGCAGGGAAAACGUAAACGCUUUAAUAGUGUAACUCGUACAUGUGUAAAUUCCUGUUUAUUAGGGCAAGUAGAGUUUACCAAUAAUUUAGUACAAUUUUUAUAUGCAAAUAGUACAACAAGAAUUUGUACUAAUUCAUUUUUGGACGCAAGUAAACUGAUCCAUAUCAAUGCGGUUGAUUCCUAUGAUGACCAUUUAAUCAUGACCAAUCAUGUGAUGUUAAUAUAUAACCUAAGAAUUCUUAUGUAUAUUGUAUAUAUUAAUUAAUUAAUUAAAUUGCACAGCGUUACUUAACCUAAUGGGGGGAGGGGGAGGAGUCACUUAUGAAAAUUUAUUUUUUUAGUCGGUUUACAGUACAUAAAACGCCUGUUUUGCUUAUGUAUUAUUAUUUAGUGUAAUUAUGUAAUUAUCAAAGGAAUAUAUGUGAAAUAAACGUGAA
rnacentral:misc_RNA from 1 species